GAACGCUGGCGGCGUGCCUAAUACAUGCAAGUCGAACGGUCUUUUCUAUGGAAGCUUGCUUCCACUGAGAAGAUAGUGGCGAACGGGUGAGUAACACGUGGGUAACCUGCCCAUAAGAGGGGGAUAACAUCCGGAAACGGGUGCUAAUACCGCAUAGUUUUUCUUGAUCGCAUGAUUGAGAAAGGAAAGACGGCCUUUGUGCUGUCGCUUAUGGAUGGACCCGCGGCGUAUUAGUUGGUUGGUGAGGUAACGGCUCACCAAGACGAUGAUACGUAGCCGACCUGAGAGGGUGAUCGGCCACAUUGGGACUGAGACACGGCCCAAACUCCUACGGGAGGCAGCAGUAGGGAAUCUUCCGCAAUGGACGAAAGUCUGACGGAGCAACGCCGCGUGAGUGAAGAAGGUUUUUUCGGAUCGUAAAACUCUGUUGUCAGAGAAGAACAAGUUGGAGAGUAACUGCUCCAGCCUUGACGGUAUCUGACCAGAAAGCCACGGCUAACUACGUGCCAGCAGCUGC
rnacentral:rRNA from 1 species